rnacentral:rRNA from 1 species
UGAAUACGAAAUGCUACGGCAUUGAAGUGAUCUAUGCCAGGCUUCCAAGAAAAUCUCGUCAUAUCUUAAGCAGUAGAUGCCUGUACCUUAAACCGACACAGGUAGGUAGGUAGAGUAUACCAAGGGGCGCGAGAUAACUCUCUCUAAGGAACUCGGCAAAAUAACCUCGUAACUUCGGAAGAAGAGGUACCCUUGAAAAAGGGUUGCAAUAACCAGACCCUGGCGACUGUUUACCAAAAACACAGGUCUCCGCUAAUUCGUAAGAUCAAGUAUGGAGGCUGACGCCUGCCCAGUGCCGGAAGGUUAAAGAAGUUGGUCAAUCUUUGGAUGAAGCUGGCGACUGAAGCCCCGGUGAGCGGCGGCCGUAACCAUAACGGUCCUAAGGUAGCGAAGUUCCUUGUCGGGUAAGUUCCGACCCGCACGAAAGGCGUAACGAUCAGGGUGCUGUCUCGGAGAGAGACUCGGCGAAAUAGACAUGUCUGUGAAGAUGCGGACUACCUGCACCUGGACAGAAAGACCCUAUGAAGCUUUACUGUAUCUUGGAAUUGGGUUUGGACCUUGCUUGCGCAGGAUAGGUGGGAGGCUGUGAAGAUAUUCUUGCGGGAAUGUUGGAGCCAACGGUGAGAUACCACUCUAGUAAGGCUAAAAUUCUAACUCUGAACCGUUAUCCGGUCAGAGAACAGUUUCAGGUGGGCAGUCUGACUGGGGCGGUCGCCUCCUAAAAGGUAACGGAGGCGCGCAAAGGUUCCCUCAGGCUGGUUGGACAUCAGUCGUAGAGUGUAAAGGCAUAAGGGAGCUUGACUGCGAGACCCACAAGUCGAGCAGAGACGAAAGUCGGCCUUAGUGAUCCGACGGUUCCACGUGGAAGGGCCGUCGCUCAAUGGAUAAAAGUUACUCUAAGGAUAACAGGCUGAUCUCCCCCAAGAGUUCACAUCGACGGGGAGGUUUGGCACCUCGAUGUCGGCUCAUCGCAUCCUGGGGCGGUAGUACGUCCCAAGGGUUGGGCUGUUCGCCCAUGAAAGCGGUACGCGAGCUGGGUUCAGAACGUCGUGAGACAGUUCGGUCCAUAUCCGGUGCAGGCGUUAGAGCAUUGUGAGGAGUCCCCCUUAGUACGAGAGGACCGGGGGGAAUACACCGCUGGUGUACCAGUUAUCGUGCCAACGGUAAACGCUGGGUAGCCAUGUGUAGCGCGGAUAACUGCUGAAAGCAUCUAAGUAGGAAGCCCACCUUAAGAUGAGUGCUCUCACCGCUAUAAGCGGGUAAGGUCACGGUAAGAACAACCGUUAUAUAGGCAUUAAGUAUACGUGCAGUAAUGCAUUUAGCUGAGAUGUACUAACAGACCGAGGGCUUGAC